rnacentral:rRNA from 2 species
AGAGUUUGAUCCUGGCUCAGGAUGAACGCUGGCGGCGUGCCUAAUACAUGCAAGUCGAGCGAACGGACGAGAAGCUUGCUUCUCUGAUGUUAGCGGCGGACGGGUGAGUAACACGUGGAUAACCUACCUAUAAGACUGGGAUAACUUCGGGAAACCGGAGCUAAUACCGGAUAAUAUUUUGAACCGCAUGGUUCAAAAGUGAAAGACGGUCUUGCUGUCACUUAUAGAUGGAUCCGCGCUGCAUUAGCUAGUUGGUAAGGUAACGGCUUACCAAGGCAACGAUGCAUAGCCGACCUGAGAGGGUGAUCGGCCACACUGGAACUGAGACACGGUCCAGACUCCUACGGGAGGCAGCAGUAGGGAAUCUUCCGCAAUGGGCGAAAGCCUGACGGAGCAACGCCGCGUGAGUGAUGAAGGUCUUCGGAUCGUAAAACUCUGUUAUUAGGGAAGAACAUAUGUGUAAGUAACUGUGCACAUCUUGACGGUACCUAAUCAGAAAGCCACGGCUAACUACGUGCCAGCAGCCGCGGUAAUACGUAGGUGGCAAGCGUUAUCCGGAAUUAUUGGGCGUAAAGCGCGCGUAGGCGGUUUUUUAAGUCUGAUGUGAAAGCCCACGGCUCAACCGUGGAGGGUCAUUGGAAACUGGAAAACUUGAGUGCAGAAGAGGAAAGUGGAAUUCCAUGUGUAGCGGUGAAAUGCGCAGAGAUAUGGAGGAACACCAGUGGCGAAGGCGACUUUCUGGUCUGUAACUGACGCUGAUGUGCGAAAGCGUGGGGAUCAAACAGGAUUAGAUACCCUGGUAGUCCACGC